rnacentral:rRNA from 1 species
AGUGGCGGACGGGUGAGUAACGCGUAAGAAUCUAACUUCAGGACGGGGACAACAGUGGGAAACGACUGCUAAUACCCGAUGUGCCGCGAGGUGAAACCUAAUUGGCCUGAAGAAGAGCUUGCGUCUGAUUAGCUAGUUGGUGGGGUAAGAGCCUACCAAGGCGACGAUCAGUAGCUGGUCUGAGAGGAUGAGCAGCCACACUGGGACUGAGACACGGCCCAGACUCCUACGGGAGGCAGCAGUGGGGAAUUUUCCGCAAUGGGCGAAAGCCUGACGGAGCAACGCCGCGUGAGGGAGGAAGGUCUUUGGAUUGUAAACCUCUUUUCUCAAGGAAGAAGUUCUGACGGUACUUGAGGAAUCAGCCUCGGCUAACUCCGUGCCAGCAGCCGCGGUAAUACGGGGGAGGCAGGCGUUAUCCGGAAUUAUUGGGCGUAAAGCGUCCGCAGGUGGUCAGCCAAGUCUGCCGUCAAAUCAGGUUGCUUAACGACCUAAAGGCGGUGGAAACUGGCAGACUAGAGAGCAGUAGGGGUAGCAGGAAUUCCCAGUGUAGCGGUGAAAUGCGUAGAGAUUGGGAAGAACAUCGGUGGCGAAAGCGUGCUACUGGGCUGUAUCUGACACUCAGGGACGAAAGCUAGGGGAGCGAAAGGGAUUAGAUACCCCUGUAGUCCUAGCCGUAAACGAUGGAUACUAGGCGUGGCUU